rnacentral:lncRNA from 1 species
CUUCAUUCACGCGAGCCUGGAUUUCUUGGUUGGUGUGGUGAUCAUUUGAUACGUGUGCCUUUCCUUUGUGGAUAUCUUCAUAAUUUCAAAUUUUGUGUACCACUUAAAGAGAAUCAGCAUUAUGGUUGUCCUUCCAGGAGGAAAAUGACUUGACGGUCAAUGCCAGGGUUAUAUUAUGAUUUUGCAUUUAGACUGAAUGAGAGCCAUCCGUUUGAGUUCCAGGAAAAAGAAAAGGCCAACACCACCAACACGGUCAACAAAGUUCUUUGUUUGUUAACCUGUUGGCUGCUACCACUUCAAUCCCCAGCCCUAUAUCCUUGGAAUGGGCCCACUUUUAUUUUGAGGUUAAUCCUGCGCCGCUAUUCCAUGGACGGGAUCCAUUGGUGGAAACUGACGAGAGAUCAGUGAUGACUGACUAACGUGCUGACAUUCAGCAAUACAGCUCACAUGCGUGCCAUCCUUCCGUCGCUUCGAGGCAUGGUUGUGCCUGCUCCAGCGUAAUUCGACUAACCAACCGGCGGCUUGUCAACUCACCCCUCGCUGACUCCUACUACCCUUGUGCUCUCGUCUCUCAACACAGCACGGGGUUUGAUCCUUAAAUCGUUUAGAUCUGUUUGUGAUCUGUGAUGGCGGUAUCUUGAGGACGACGAUGAUGUUCCUUAAUUUGCAUGACAGACUUGAUGAGAAGUAAUGUCCUUUCAAGAGAGUCAACAAGGUCCUUGUUUGCUAACCCAAUGGCUGCUACCCUUGAAUUUCCCUUUUUAAUUCCUUAAACGGGCUCUGUUGAUUUGAGGGUAAUCCUGUGCUACUUAUCGAGGACUUCAUAGAAUGCUGAACACCGACGAGAGCAUGUCGUCAUUCAAGACUGAUAAAUUGUGUAGUUAUUUACAAGUGCAUAUCUGGGCUCCCUUCUUUUCUGUGGCCCCGUUUCCCUAUCUAACCACUAAUCAACGCCCGCCGGUGGUCACUCACCCGCUGUGA